GGUCUGGUGGUCUAGUGGUAUGAUUCUCGCUUAGGGUCCACCCUAUAGCUACUGCAUGCGAGAGGUCCCGGGUUCAAUCCCCGGCCAGACCC
rnacentral:tRNA from 1 species